rnacentral:rRNA from 1 species
GACGAACGCUGGCGGCGUGCUUAACACAUGCAAGUCGAACGGAAAGGCCCUGCUUUUGUGGGGUGCUCGAGUGUCGCACGUGUGAGUAACACGUGGGUAACCUGCCCUUGGCUUUGGGAUAACUUCAGUAAACUGUGGCUAAUACCGCAUAGGAGCUCCUGCUGCAUGGUGGGGGUUGGCGAGUUUGGGCGGUUGUGGAUGGACUCGCGGCUUAUCAGCUGGUUGGUGGGGAAGUGGCUGACCAAGGAGUUGACGGGUAGCAGGCCUGAGAGGGGGACCGGCAACAAUGGGACUGAGAUACGGCCGAGACGCCUACGGGAGGAAGCAGCGGGGAAUAUUGCACAAUGGGCGGAAGAAGGAUGCAGCAACGACGCGGGCGGGAUGAAGGACGUCGGGUUGUAAACAGCUUUCGCCUGUGAAGAAGAGGGAGUGACGGUAAUGGGUAAAGAAGCACCGGCUAACUACGUG